rnacentral:lncRNA from 1 species
ACAAUUCCUCAGUGGUCCUUCCUACUGCCUCAUAGUUCCAAGUUGAUUUGGAAAAAUGACUGGUUCUAUGUAUGCAUAAUGUCUGAAUUACAUCUUCUGUAAAGGAUAUCAGCAGUAGCCGGUCUCUGAUUUGGCACUGGUUCUUUCCCAUAUAUUUAGAACAACAUUGUAUCUGCUGUUUUAUAUUUAAUGGUUAAAAUUCUUUAUAAAUAUCUUUUAAUCUUACUAUUUCAUAAAAGAUCUAGACCAAAUGAAUCAUGAACCAAUGCUCAUAAUGUUCAGAUUGAUGUUUGUAGCUUGUUACAUUAGACAAACAAAUAUGUAUUCUUUUCACUUGAGAACUAACUACUGGGUUAUAGAAGUUUGUAACUAAUAAGCAAUUCACCAUAAACUUUGAUCUCUUUUCUGUAUUGAAGCAAACAUUCUUAUGAGAAUAUGGGUUUAGUGACAGAGUAAGCCACCUACAAGCUAAUUAUACACACAUAUGUCCUUAGAUUUUGAAUUCCUUUUAGGGCAUGGACCACUCAUAUUCAUCCUGGUGCCUAACACAAAGUUGGCCUUCAUUAAAUAGAUAAAUAAUUGAAGGCCUCAAUGAAAAAUAAUUUAAGGAUUUAUAUUCAUAACUCCUUUUAAGUUCUGGUAAACGUUUUCCAAAUUAUACAUCUUACCUUCCACAGGAAACCAUGUCUUAAUGGAAGGAACAGUGGACUUGCACUCAGGAGACAGGGGAUUGAAGAAAGAACUAAUCAGACAGACCAUAGUUGGAUUACUGUCUCUACCGUUUGUGACUGAUUGUGAACUUGGACACAUGACGUAAUCUGUAUGCCUCAGUCCCUUCUCCUUAGUGCAGGUAAUAAAAUUAGCAUGAGGAAUGCUUAAGGAAAGGUCGCUUUUGGGACACUGUGAAUGUGGUAUGCUGUAAUUUGUGUCCGUGGGGGCUGAGUUUUUAAAAACAAGCUUUCUUUUGGUACACUGUGGUUGGCGUUGUUCAAGCAGGGGGCUGGUGUCAGUCUACUGGGCAACUCUGGGGAAUUGGUCCUUUGCAAAUUCCCUUAGUCAGGGGAAAUUGGUUUUAUAUUAGGAGGGUAUCUGACAAUUUUGUUGCUUUGCUGGAAUAUUAAUGAAGCCUUAAAGAGUUCAUAACUUUCUAAAUAUCUAAAAUGGUAGAAUAAAGAGACUUAAAGAUUUGAGCUUUUUAACUGCAGCAUCCCUUCUCUUUUCAAGACCUGCCUCUUACGACCCAGGCACUUCUGUUUUAAUCUUUUCAUGCCAGUGUUCUCAAUUUUUCCCCAUGCCUGCAGGACUUCAUGCAAUAUAGAACACUGGCCUCUAUAUU